rnacentral:rRNA from 1 species
CAUAUGACUCUCGGCAAUGGAUAUCUCGGCUCUUGCAUCGAUGAAGAACGUAGUGAAAUGCGAUACUUGGUGUGAAUUGCAGAAUCUCGUGAACCAUUGAGUCUUUGAACGCAAGUUGUGCCCGAGGCUUUGUGGCCGAGGGCACGCCUGCUUGGGCGUCAUGG